AUCUCACAACUCUGUCUACUUCAUAUGACAGAUUGAUAGAUUUGGGCAUUUCAAAAUUUGGCAUGCUGCAGGAUCUAUAUUAUUUGCUAUCUCAUUUUCUUCGGGUUUUGGCGGUUGUUUGCCUUAUUCACUCCUCCAGAGUAACUCCUCAACUAUCGAAACAUUAUCAUACAUCAUGUUUGCAGCUAUCUUCAAUGUAGGAUAAGCUGCUACUCAGGUUUCUCACAUGUAAAACAAUCUUUCUUUUUUCAUUUGAUCAAGUUUACUCAGUGAGAUAUUCAUUUUUCUUAAUCAAGCCGAGUAGCACUAGCUAACAAGCUCCUGUAAUGCGUUUUUGCAUGGUUGCUAAUUUAGGCUCAUACACGAUUGCUUUAGUUGUAUUUGGUGUUAGCGAGGCCAUGGCAAAAGAAAAAUACCAAAACUUAGUAUCGUUGGAUUGUUUAUUCAUCCAUAACCGUUGGCUGCUGUUUUUUGGUCAUAUUUCUUAUGUGGACAAAGGAACCAAGCCUGAGGAGAAAUCUAAGAGAAACUAGCCGAUCAAGAAUACCAUGGUCUUAUUGGUUCCGUAAAAUUCUAUUACCAUCAAGUUCCUAUGGUUUAUCUCCUCACUCGACUAGUACUGACUGUUUAACAGGAAUAUCUUGCAUUCUUUAUUAUUGAUGAUUUGCAAAUGGCUCAAAUCUGCCAAAGCUCUACACUGAAAUGUACAGGCACUUCACCAAAGGUCGAUGUAAACAUCAAACGAUAUUUUUACUUCUCGGUGACAAGAUAUGGGUUAGGACUUGUUCCAGCUCUAUGCUCGCUUGUUGGAGUUGUUGUAACAUAUUUUAUGGAACUCAAUAGCACAAUUCUAAAGCUUCUGUGUCAAUCGCUACUACUAGAAUGAACAGAAGGAAGAUACACAACGCUUCUGGUCUGGUAAAACACAUAUAGCUCAAAACUUGGUUACUGUUUGACAGUAAUAUGUUUCAGUCUGCUAAAUUUUUGUUCAUAAGGAUAGGUUUAUAUCACACUGCGACAUGCAAUACAUUUGUACAAGAAUUACUUGAAGUCAUUAUAAAAUAUUGCCUGUUUUUAUAA